rnacentral:rRNA from 1 species
UACGAAGGGGGCUAGCGUUGCUCGGAAUCACUGGGCGUAAAGCGCACGUAGGCGGCUUUUUAAGUCAGGGGUGAAAUCCUGGAGCUCAACUCCAGAACUGCCUUUGAUACUGAGAAGCUUGAGUCCGGGAGAGGUGAGUGGAACUGCGAGUGUAGAGGUGAAAUUCGUAGAUAUUCGCAAGAACACCAGUGGCGAAGGCGCUCACUGGCCCGGUACUGACGCUGAGGAGCGAAAGCCAGGGGAGCAAAGCGGG